GAUGAACGCUGGCGGCGUGCCUAGUACAUGCAAGUCGAGCGAACAGACGAGGAGCUUGCUCCUCUGAUGUUAGCGGCGGACGGGUGAGUAACACGUGGAUAACCUACCUAUAAGACUGGGAUAACUUCGGGAAACCGGAGCUAAUACCGGAUAACAUGUUGAACCGCAUGGUUCAACAGUGAAAGACGGUCUUGCUGUCACUUAUAGAUGGAUCCGCGCCGCAUUAGCUAGUUGGUAAGGUAACGGCUUACCAAGGCAACGAUGCGUAGCCGACCUGAGAGGGUGAUCGGCCACACUGGAACUGAGACACGGUCCAGACUCCUACGGGAGGCAGCAGUAGGGAAUCUUCCGCAAUGGGUGAAAGCCUGACGGAGCAACGCCGCGUGAGUGAAGAAGGUCUUCGGAUCGUAAAACUCUGUUAUUAGGGAAGAACAAAUGUGUAAGUAACUAUGCACGUCUUGACGGUACCUAAUCAGAAAGCCACGGCUAACUACGUG
rnacentral:rRNA from 1 species